rnacentral:rRNA from 1 species
AGAGUUUGAUCAUGGCUCCCAANAAGUACUGGCGGCAUGCUUAACACAUGCAAGUCGAACGAGAAAGUAUCCUUCGGGGUGCGAGUAAAGUGGCGAACGGGUGAGUAACACGUAAGAACCUGUCCUCGGGACUGGGAUAACAUCGCGAAAGUGGUGCUAAUACCGGAUAAUAUCUAUGGAUCAAAGGAGGCUUCGGCUUCUGUCUGGGGAGGGGCUUGCGGCUCAUUAGCUUGUUGGUGAGGUAAUGGCUCACCAAGGCGACGAUGGGUAGCCGGCCUGAGAGGGUGUACGGCCACACUGGAACUGAGACACGGUCCAGACUCCUACGGGAGGCAGCAGUGGGGAAUAUUGGUCAAUGGGCGAAAGCCUGAACCAGCAAUGCCGUGUGGGUGAUGAAGCUUUUCGGAGUGUAAAACCCUUUUAUGUGGGAAGAAC